rnacentral:misc_RNA from 1 species
GAAAUGCGAUAAGUAAUGUGAAUUGCAGAAUUCAGUGAAUCAUCGAAUCUUUGAACGCACCUUGCGCCCCUUGGUAUUCCGAGGGGCACACCUGUUUGAGUGUCGUGAAAUUCUCAACUCAAAUACCUUUGCUGGUGUUUGAGCUUGGAUUUGGGGGUUUUGCUGGCUUGUGUCGGCUCCCCUUGAAUGUAUUAGCUCGGACCCUUGCGGAUCAGCUAUCGGUGUGAUAAUUGUCUACGCCGUGGUUGUGAUGCCACCUUUUAGGUGUUGAGGGAUCGGCUUCCAAUCGUCCCUUGGGACAAUUAUUUUGAAAUCUGACCUCAAAUCAGGUGGGACUACCCGCUGAACUUAA